GAAUUAGUGGUUAUCAACUCUUAAUUUUUAUUUUUUUUCAUUGAAUUCUCGUGUGCUCUGAGUUUGUGGAUUCAUUAGGACGGUCAAAGAUGGAGGGAAUGACUGAUUUGCAGAGCUCAUGGCUAGGGUUGGUGCAUUGGCAUCAAUGCCGAACACAAUUGUGGCCAAAAUCCCGACGAGCAUGAUUACUGUGGCGUCGACUUUUCUGCCCCCUCUUUUGUCUUCUUCUCUCUCUCCUCCUUCUCCUUUUCCCCCACUUUUCCCCCCUUCUGCCAUCCAUCCCCUUUCCCCUCUCUCUCUCUCUCUCUCUCUCUUCUCCCCUUCCCCCUCACGUUACCUCCUGCGGCCCUCCUUUUGUCCUUUCUUUCUUUUUCUCUCUCUCUUUCUCUCUCUCCCCCCCCUUGGCCGUGGGUUUGAGGAGCCGUGGCAGCGGCCAUCUUCGUUGUGCCAUUUGUGCCGUGCGACUCAUGUUUUGUCGCCAUCGUGCCUCCGUCAUCACAAGCUUGCCAUCGCCGGACAUCGAUAAAAAGAAUGGGUUGAUGAUGCGUCCUGGGAUGUCGCAAUUUAAUCGACUGCCGAGGGAUGUUCGCGCGCUUGAGGUUCGGGGCGUGACAAUUGCAGCUAUCGGAGCCGAGCUUGAGGAAAUUGAGCCUUGAUGGUAGGGGUGACAAUAGUUGGCGAGGAUCGAGGAGAGGAGGCUCAAUGCACGGUUAGGAAGGUGCUAGUUAAGGAGAUAGAAGAACACGUAAAGUGCCAGAAAAGGUAUACUUCAAUGCUAACGGUGAGAAUUUCUGGCUAAACUGUUGACUUGGUUUUUUCCGAUGAGAAUUUGAAGUGAUGUGACAUUUCUUUAAAAUAAUUUUACCCACGUAUAGGGCAAGCAACGUUUAUUUUGGCUAUUAAGUGAUUAUUUUCUACAAAA